rnacentral:rRNA from 1 species
UACGUAGGGUGCGAGCGUUGUCCGGAAUUAUUGGGCGUAAAGAGCUUGUAGGCGGUUUGUCGCGUCUGCUGUGAAAUCUCAAGGCUCAACCUUGAGCUUGCAGUGGGUACGGGCAGACUAGAGUGUGGUAGGGGGAGACUGGAAUUCCUGGUGUAGCGGUGAAAUGCGCAGAUAUCAGGAGGAACACCGAUGGCGAAGGCAGGUCUCUGGGCCACUACUGACGCUGAGAAGCGAAAGCAUGGGGGAGCGAACAGG